CAAACGGGUGCGGAACACGUACAGAACUUUCCUUUAAGCGGGGGAUAGCCCGGAGAAAUCCGGAUUAAUACCCCAUAGUAUAUUAAAAAGGCAUCUUUUUGAUAUUAAAGAUUUAUCACUUAGAGAUGGCUGUGCGGCUGAUUAGGUAGUUGGUGUAGGUAAAGGCUCACCAAGCCGGCGAUCAGUAACUGGUGUGAGAGCACGACCAGUCACACGGGCACUGAGACACGGGCCCG
rnacentral:rRNA from 1 species